CAGGUCAUUAAUGAAGCAAUUUAGUUAAAAUUAGAUCAUUGGGAUGGACUUGAACCCAACACGGCUGGUGUCUUUAAAAGAAAAGAAGGUUAGGGCUCAGACAACACAGAGGGAUGACCAUGUCCAGAAUGCCAGUGAUAGCUGGAAGUCCACACGCAGGUAAACAAGGAGAGAUCUCUAUCACCGCCUGUCACUCAUCCGCGGCUCUCAGCUCCCCAGGGUAGCAGACAAAUUCCACCCAACACGAAGUUAAUCUAAGUGGGGGCUUACACCGGAGGCCACGGAUCUGCUGGUUCUGAGAUUUGGAGUAAGGGAGCCCAUCACCAGGGUUAAUAUCACCGCAGCCUACAG